CACAGCAAAUUGUUUGUUAUCAUAAUCAUAACAGAAAUAUUUGUUACGUGGAAAAAAAUAAUUUUGCCGUUGCAGCAAAACGUCGUUGCGACAGCAAUGAAAUUCCGUUGGCAUAAUUAGUGAUUAACACUCUUAACCAAUUUUUUCCUGUCCAAACGAAUCUUUUUAAAUAACAAACAAUUGGUUGCCCCAGCAACAAAUUUUCCUCCAUGAACGAUCGGUGGCCAUCGACUUUAGUCGACGAUCUUUAGUCGACCGAAGGAAAUUAUUUCAAUUCACGUCCGAAGUGCGCGCCCGUGAUUACUCAUCUUCGCGGAGAUUGUUUUCCAAUCGAAGUGAAAUAAAGAGGAACUUGAGACUCGAUAACGGGAUAAAUAUUGUUAUUUCUGCAGGACACGUACAAUUCGAGCAUUAUAUCGGCGAGACCGUUCGAUCGUGUUUCGUGGUAAAAGAAUGGAUGCGUAAGACGAGGUUGCGCCGAGGAGUCAGUCAUUCAUGAAACUACGCGAAGAUAUUAUCAUUAACAUAAUGAGAGUCACGUCUGCAUUAGAUAAGCGCGACGCUUAUAAGUUCGGCAUAGCACGCAACGGUAUUAAUAAUUGCGCGAUAGUCGAGGUGACAACAUGAACCGAAUCGCUGUUGCUGUCGCGCUAUUGUGCGCCCUGUCGUCCACCUUUGCCUUCAGUUUCGAAGACUGCGGCUCGGAGGUAGGCAAGUUCGGCGAUAUAUCUAUCUCGAGUUGCACCACGACGGACGAAAAAUGCAUUUUCACACGCGGCAACGAUAUACAAGUGUCCCUUAAAUUCACGCCAAGUAAAGACACCUCGACGGUAGAAGCGCGCGCUUUCGGUGUGAUGCUCGACGUGCCGGUACCGUUUCCUCUGGAAAAGCCCGAUGUGUGCAAGGAUGGCGGUCCCGGAGUCAAGUGUCCUCUGACUAAGGACCAAGAAUAUGAGUACACAACCACGUUCGCUGUAGACAAGGCCGUGCCUGCGUUGAGCAUCGACGUUUUGUUGCAAUUUAUAAACGACAACGAUGAGAAGCUGAUGUGCGUGAAAUUCCCGGUGAAGAUCACGUAAAGGACUUGCGGCACUUCCGUGGCUCGCAUUAUGAAGAAUAAUCAUAGCAAUUUGGUGGCGAGAGAUGAAUACAUGCACAGGUGCAACUAUGAAAUGUAGAUGACGGAUUUCAUUAUCCACAUUUCUCCGCAACGCAUAUCGAAGAUCCAUGGGGCAAACUUCAGAGGAUAGUAGUUUCUCACGAAGAGAACUAAUUUUUGUCAAGGAAUCCAUAUAUCCUUCGACGUGUCCUUGUUUGGACCGCCUGUGAGAUAGGCAACCAGUCGAUUAUUAUCUGUUUUAAUGGACACGACUCCGAUAAAUUACUUUUACCUUGACAUAUGUUGUCGGAAACAUCCUCUCCUGAUUAACCUCCGAGAGGUUUUAGUCGGCGGUCUUUGUUUAUUAAAAUGUGAUUAACUAAAAGAUUUUUCAGACAAAGUUCAAAUAAAGUUGGCAAUUUAAA